GCCCCUGUAGCUCAACUGGACAGAGCGCAUCGCUUCGGACGAUGAGGUUGCGGGUUCAACUCCUGCCGGGGGCG
rnacentral:tRNA from 1 species